rnacentral:piRNA from 1 species
UUUUUGGAUUUGACUGUGAAGUGAUUCUAAA